AACUCAUGCUUGCAGGACUUCUCGCGGGCGGCUCCCUUCCUAUGGAAUAGCCUGCCUACUGCCAUCAGACUCUCCCCUAGUCUUGCAUCUUUUAAGAAGUGCCUUAAAACCCAUCUCUUUAGGAAAGCUUAUGGCCUCCAAGACUAACCUCUACCUUACAUACCUGUCUCUUGCUCUCUCCUAAAGGGCAGCCCACCUUAUUUGACUGCAAAUUCCUGUCCUAAUGUGUUUUACACCCCACCUCCCAUGGAAUGUAAGCUC